rnacentral:lncRNA from 1 species
GUAGGUUCUGAAUAACUAGAACAAGAAGAUGCCCUGAUAGCUCUGCUAAUUGUCUGAGUCAGAAUUAGUUGCAUUGAUGUACGACAUAGCACAAUCAAAAGAGUAAGCACUGUUAAUCAAUAAACAGAUUUUCCAGAUAACUGAAAUCUUUUCAUUUAAGUGUAACAACUUUGAAAAUGUUUCCUUAUUUUGUAAAGGCGUAUUUCUAAGCUGUAUCUAUAAAUGGCAAC